rnacentral:rRNA from 1 species
UACGAGGGGUGCAAGCGUUGCUCGGAAUUAUUGGGCGUAAAGGGUAGGUAGGUGGUCUCAUUUGUCUGAUGUGAAAGCCUUGGGCUUAACCCAAGAAGUGCGUCAGAAACUGUGAGACUGGAGUCUUGGAGAGGGUCGUGGAAUUCCACGUGUAGCGGUGAAAUGCGUAGAGAUGUGGAGGAACACCAGUGGCGAAGGCGGGUCUCUGGGCAACAACUGACGCUGAGGAGCGAAAGCGUGGGGAGCGAACAGG